rnacentral:rRNA from 1 species
GGAUUUGGCGGUACCCUAUCCCGACCUAGAGGAGCCUGUCCUAUAAUCGAUACCCCGCGUUUUACCCAACCACCCCUUGUAGUUCAGCCUAUAUACCGCCGUCGCCAGCCUACCUUAUGAAAGGAAACAAAGUAGGCAUAAUAGUCAAUAACGAAUACGUCAGGUCAAGGUGUAGCAUACGGAGUGGAAGAGAUGGGCUACAUUUUCUCAAACAGAAAACUACGAACGACACUAUGAAAUAAGUGCCUAAAGGCGGAUUUAGCAGUAAGACAAAUAAGACACUUUAUCUUAAGCCCGCUCUAGGGUGCGC